GUCGAACGCAACCUUCGGGUUGAGUGGCGGACGGGUGAGUAACGCGUGAGAAUCUGCCUUGGGGUCGGGGACAACCACUGGAAACGGUGGCUAAUACCGGAUAAGCCUUUGGGUAAAAGAUUUAUUGCCCCAAGAGGAGCUCGCGUCCGAUUAGCUAGUUGGUGAGGUAAAAGCUCACCAAGGCAGCGAUCAGUAGCUGGUCUGAGAGGACGAUCAGCCACACUGGGACUGAGACACGGCCCAGACUCCUACGGGAGGCAGCAGUGGGGAAUUUUCCGCAAUGGGCGAAAGCCUGACGGAGCAAGACCGCGUGAGGGAGGAAGGCUCUUGGGUUGUAAACCUCUUUUCUCAGGGAAGAAGCUCUGACGGUACCUGAGGAAUCAGCCUCGGCUAACUCCGUGCCAGCAGCCGCGGUAAUACGGAGGAGGCAAGCGUUAUCCGGAAUUAUUGGGCGUAAAGCGUCCGCAGGUGGCGAUUCAAGUCUGCUGUCAAAGCACGGGGCUUAACUCCGUUAAGGCAGUGGAAACUGAAUAGCUAGAGUGCCGUAGGGGUAGAGGGAAUUCCCGGUGUAGCGGUGAAAUGCGUAGAGAUCGGGAAGAACAUCGGUGGCGAAAGCGCUCUACUGGACGGCAACUGACACUCAGGGACGAAAGCUAGGGGAGCGAAUGGGAUUAGAUACCCCAGUAGUCCUAGCUGUAAACGAUGGAUACUAAGGUGUAGCUUGUAUCGACCCGAGCUGUGCCGAAGCUAACGCGUUAAGUAUCCCGCCUGGGGAGUACGCACGCAAGUGUGAAACUCAAAGGAAUUGACGGGGGCCCGCACAAGCGGUGGGAGUAUGUGGGUUAAUUCGAAUGCACGGCGAAAGAACCUUACCAGGGGUUGACAUGUCCGGAAUCCCGGUGAAAGCUGGGAGUGCCUUCGGGAGGCGGAACACAGGUUGUUGCCUUGGGUGGUCGUCAGUUCGUGUCGUGAGAUGUUGGGUUAAGUCCCGCAACGAGCGCAACCCUCGU
rnacentral:rRNA from 1 species